rnacentral:rRNA from 1 species
UACGGAAGGUGCAAGCGUUGCUCGGAAUUACUGGGCGUAAAGGGUGCGUAGGCGGCCGUGCAAGUCUGGCGUGAAAGCCCCGGGCUCAGCCCGGGAAGUGCGCUCGAAACUGCGCGGCUCGAGUGCCGGAGGGGAGAGUGGAAUUCCUGGUGUAGCGGUGAAAUGCGUAGAUAUCAGGAGGAAUACCGGUGGCGAAAGCGACUCUCUGGACGGCAACUGACGCUGAGGCACGAAAGCGUGGGGAGCAAACAGG